AGUGAGUUGCUUCCUCCCUUCUCAUACUGCUGAGUCUACAUUUAAGCAUUCAUUCUUCACAGGAGGACCGACACGACAGAUUGACCUAUCCGGUGAUGCGAAUUGACAAAGAGGACUCAAAGGCCAUAACUGCGGUGUUGGAGAACCACUUAUUUGAGGUGACGGACGGAUUGGGCACUUCAUUGAUUUGAAGUACGAUAUAAAGUCUGCCUUGGCUUUGGAUCUCAUCACAAAUGCAUUCUGUCAGUUCCUCAAGGCUCUUCUCACAUCAUGUGGUGACAUUUGCGUCCAGUGUUAUAUAGCCCUGUCACAUGGAAGAGGUGGAGGAGACCAGCUUACUAAAGAGUAUAUCAGCAUCACUGGAAACACUGCCUCUAUUGCUGUCAUCAACAGCCAGCUGGCUGAAAUCAAGCCACCACACAGCUCCACGAGACUCCCAAGGGCACUGAGCACACGCCUAUUCUGGAAGGCUUCUGAAUGGCGCCACUGGCUGCUGUACCACUCGCUUCCCUGCAUGUACAGGGUCCUUCUGGACCAAUACUGGCCGUACAUAAAGAAGCUGGUGGAGGCCGUCCAUGCACUUUUGAGGGACACCGUAACUCCAGCAUCCAUUGAUGUUGCACGCGAGUUCUCCCCCUUCGGUUUCUUUGUGUCCUGCUUCGGGCCAGCUUUAAUAAUGUCAUAUUGUGCUUUCAGAGAAACUCCUCUGGACCUUUGUGGGCAUGACAGGGAGGCUGUAUGGAGCUCCAGCAAUGACGUUCAGCCUGCACCAGUUACUCCACCUAGCGGAAGCAGUGCAGCAACUGGGGCCAUUGUGGGGCCAUUCUGCUUUUGAAUUUGAAAGCGGUAACGGGCAGCUUGUGAAGCUGGUGAAAGGAUCAAAUGCUCUUCCGGAAAGGGUAGUGAAGUAUCAGCAGUUGGGAUCAAACUUUGGUGUCCUCGCUUCUAAGUGACAGCGUCAAAGUGAUGUGCUGUGAUAUUCUGGGAUACACUAAACACCAAAACUUCAAGUAUGCAAACGAAGUGUGCCUGCUCGGUUCCUCUUCGAAGGCAUCCUUGAGCAAAGAGGAACAGAGUUGUCUUUCCGCUGGAUUUGGGGCCGCCUUUGAUCAGGCUACAGAGUACAAGCACUUCGCAUGGAAAGGGCAGAUUUGUCACAGCCGAAACUAUGCCAGGAGUAAAAAGACAGACUCCUAGGUCAUUCAAAUAAAGGAUAUGUGCGAUUUCACCAUUUUGAGAGUGUUGCCUUUGAAAGGUGAGGUAACACUUCUGUGCAGGGAAGUUGUCAUCACUUGUGCAGGUGCUUUCCCGCAGCACAUCAGGCUUUGUUUUCUUUCUCACGUGAACUUGCAGGCUGUUAAACCACAGCAGCUGAAGGCACCAUGCCUUUUUCUCACUUUCAGGAAGCCCUCAGCAUGCUAUGUCUGUGAUCUGUCAAACCUUCUUGAGCGCGAUUGAUGUAAUGUAACCAGGUGUGCCGAAGUAAAGUGACUGUUCCCUAGGAGUUGAAAUAUCCAAAACUACAUCCUGUGAUAAUUUGUCCCUGUUUUGCCUUUGUGUCAACAAGGGAAAUCUAUCGAGAUUGUGCCUUUCACAUCUUCAGACUUCUUGUUUUGCUCCUAAGGUGUUCCUUCAGGUAACUCUACAUUCAUAAGUGAUUUUCUUUGUUUACAAUUUGUUAUACUUCGUGUGCUUGAUUUGCUCUUCUGAGACUAGUCGGGCUAAUUUGAUUAUCGACCUGUGGAAGAUGGCUAUUGUUUGAGUAAAUCAAUUCCAUGUCUCAGCCUCCUAAUGUGUCUUUCCCUAACCUUUCUGACAAAAAUGUGUGAAGCUUCUAGGGGUAGCAGUAGGGUAGGCUUGUUUUUAACUGCAAGCAGGCAAAUGAGAAAAUCACUCUUUUGUUAUUAUAAUGCAAGUUGAAAAGACUGAAAUAGACUUAGACCUUUCGUUAUUCUGUCUACAUUGCAUCAUAAUUGAAUAGCUUCAAAAACCUUCUGUAUUCGUGGACCACAAAAUAGGCUUUUGUUAAUAGCAU
rnacentral:lncRNA from 1 species